rnacentral:other from 1 species
UUAUCCCUGCCGUGUGCGUUGGGUUAAUGAUGAUUGGUGAGCCAACACCAAAUAAAAAGGGAGCCCAUAUUUUUUGGCACUGUGGUGCCAAAAAGAGGGCACCCACGUGUAACCAAAACGGUUCACAGCCCAUCACCCCAACGGCACAGUGCGGGGAUUUU